AGAAUAAAGGAUUCAGAACAAAGAGCAGAACACGAGAAAUGAAAGUGCUGCCCAAAAGGUAAAAUCCAGCCUGAUGAUCUGUUUCAGUUAGGCUGCCAAGGUACAAUUUGGCUCUCAGAGGUUUCAGAUGGCAUUUUUGACAAUGUGGUGCCAGCAGUUUGACUACUGAACACAUGCUGAAUUCUGCACACCAUGUCUCCAGCUGGAAUCAAGGGUCGUUGGCAGGUGACACCACAGAUGAAAUCUGGUUCUCGAUACCUAGUCUUGCAACUGACGAGAGGUUUCAUGUCAACACUAAU